GAUCCUGGCUCAGGAUGAACGCUAGCUACAGGCUUAACACAUGCAAGUCGAGGGGCAUCAGGGUGUAGCAAUACACCGCUGGCGACCGGCGAACGGGUGAGUAACACGUAUCCAACCUGCCCUUUACUCGGGGAUAGCCUUUCGAAAGAAAGAUUAAUACCCGAUGGCAUAACAUGACCUCCUGGUUUUGUUAUUAAAGAAUUUCGGUAGAGGAUGGGGAUGCGUUCCAUUAGGCAGUUGGCGGGGUAACGGCCC
rnacentral:rRNA from 1 species